GAUCAUGGCUCAGGAUGAACGCUAGCUACAGGCUUAACACAUGCAAGUCGAGGGGCAGCAUGAACUUAGCUUGCUAAGUUUGAUGGCGACCGGCGCACGGGUGAGUAACACGUAUCCAACCUGCCGAUGACUCGGGGAUAGCCUUUGAAGAAAGAUAAUACCGACUGGCGAUAGUUCUUUCCGUCCACUGUAGGAACUAUAAUAAUUAGUUCGUCUC
rnacentral:rRNA from 1 species